UCUUCCACGAUUACUUCUUCUCUUCUUCCUUAUUCUUUUCUUUUCUUUCCUCUCCUCUCUUCCCACGCACGCACACUGCUGCCUCUCCCUUGUUCCAGCACCCGAUUUCCUCUCCCUUUUUCCUUUUCCAUUUUCUUCCUCUCCUCGUCUCACUGCCAUGCACGCACACGCACACCAGCCCGUGAGAGAGAUGAACUGAGAGAGAGACUUUGAGGUUCGGUUUUUCUGAGGGGUCUUCAGUGAAGCCUAUAGGCGCGAUUUCCGGUGAUUUUCUGGCGAUCCGGAGCUGACUUACGGCAAAAUCAGAGGACGAUUUCCAAUGGGUCUUCGGUGGGUCGAUGGAGAUGAUGUUUCUUUGGCUGCAGGUACUUCGGUAUAGUCGAUGGGUCGGUAGCAGUGUGCUUGGGAUAUUAUGACUGAAGCUCACCGCGACGGUUGUAAUUGUCGGACCACGGGUUGUCCACUAUUUUAUAGGUUUGGUAUAGCUUGUGACGUUUGUGUCACAUAUUCUUUGUAAAGCCAUAGUUAUUAUGUAAAUAUAGUGUUAAUAAGACUUAAUCAGAUAGAUGUUAAAUGGCUCUUUGUUGUAAUUAAUUUGUAAUAGAUGUAUAAGAAGUAAUUUUCGCUAUUCAGAUUUAUGUUUUCCACUGCA